rnacentral:snRNA from 1 species
GUGCUCGCUUCGGCAGCACAUAUACUAAAAUUGGAACGAUACAGAGAAGAUUAGCAUGGCCUCUGCACGAAAGGAGGGAGGGAAGGAAGUGAGCUAAAUUGGC